rnacentral:rRNA from 1 species
UACGAAGGGGGCUAGCGUUGCUCGGAAUCACUGGGCGUAAAGGGUGCGUAGGCGGGUCUUUAAGUCAGGGGUGAAAUCCUGGAGCUCAACUCCAGAACUGCCUUUGAUACUGAAGAUCUUGAGUUCGGGAGAGGUGAGUGGAACUGCGAGUGUAGAGGUGAAAUUCGUAGAUAUUCGCAAGAACACCAGUGGCGAAGGCGGCUCACUGCCGCAGUACUGACGCUG